rnacentral:rRNA from 1 species
AGUGAACGCUGGCGGUAGGCCUAACACAUGCAAGUCGAACGGCAGCACGGUAAGAGCUUGCUCUUACGGGUGGCGAGUGGCGGACGGGUGAGGAAUACAUCGGAAUCUACUUUUUCGUGGGGGAUAACGUAGGGAAACUUACGCUAAUACCGCAUACGACCUACGGGUGAAAGCAGGGGAUCUUCGGACCUUGCGCGAUUGAAUGAGCCGAUGUCGGAUUAGCUAGUUGGCGGGGUAAAGGCCCACCAAGGCGACGAUCCGUAGCUGGUCUGAGAGGAUGAUCUGCCACACUGGAACUGAGACACGGUCCAGACUCCUACGGGAGGCAGCAGUGGGGAAUAUUGGACAAUGGGCGCAAGCCUGAUCCAGCCAUACCGCGUGGGUGAAGAAGGCCUUCGGGUUGUAAAGCCCUUUUGUUGGGAAAGAAAAGCAGCAGGUUAAUACCCCGCUGUUCUGACGGUACCCAAAGAAUAAGCACCGGCUAACUUCGUG